GCCUAGCUUUCCUAAAUGUACUUGCCUCAGUAUUCUAAUUCGUGAUUGGGAACAUAUGACAGCAGACCUGGACCUCUAGGGAGUGAAUGAUUCCAGAGAAGAUGCUUAUAGGACAAGACUAGCCCUUUGGAGGGGCUGCUCCUUUGAAAUCUUGCCUCCAUAUGCUCUAUGCCAACUUGUCCAACCCAAUCCUAGUAGAAUGCUAAAGGAGGUCUUCCCUGAGCAUUGGCUGCCAAGGCAGAGCCCAUGGGCAGCUGCAGGAAGGGGCCUCUGAUGGACACCUCUCAGAGAAGAGACCCAAGCAGCUCGCACAUUGGCUGGGCCCUGUCAGGUUUACCUUGCAAUGACCAUUGUGAUGUCAUAUGGAGUCACAACCUUGAGGGGUAAUAUUGUUUGGCUGAGAGGGGCAGGGGGUUGAGAAAUGGCACCGAUUUGGGGGCUGGCCAUACCGCCUCCAUCAUGCGUCAGCCUUCUACUACUAUUUGGUUUCCUCGUUUGGGGGCUUUGGCUGCUCUUCUCUGGGAGACAGAGCAGGGAGCAGGUGGCAGCCAAGAGAGCCUCAGAGACUUCAAAACAGCAAAAAUUCAAAAAGAUCCAGAAACUCACAGCUUCCCGGUGGGAAGAAAAUCUUAGGAUGAGCUGCUCUGAAGCUAAUCGGACACACUUUUCAGGUCUCCCUAUGGGAUGGGCCCAGGAGUAUGCACUCUGGUCAAUGGACAGAAGUCUUCAACAGAUCUUCCAACAUCUGGAAUGUGCAAGGUCAGGGAAGGUCAUUUCUGGGAGGCGGUUGGGUGGUGGAAGUUUUUGUUUUUGUCUUAAGUAAACUCUACCCACAAUGUGGGGGUUGAAUUCUUGAGAUCAAGAAUUGC